rnacentral:lncRNA from 1 species
UUCAAUUAAUGUUGACAAACUUGUGUGAAUUCAUAUUCAUUGAUCCAAAUAAGGAAGCUUUAAAUUUAGUUUUUGACCAAGUAAGAGAAGCUUCACUGUAUGGUUACCGAAAUUUCAUAGAGAAAAAAAAAUACCUUGAGCUAAGUUUGCUUUAUUGCCGACUUUAUAAUAUGCUAGAUAUAUAGUUCCCUACUUAUAAUAUUACAUAUUUUCUAUAUAUAUCCUCCAUAUUAUUAAUAUGUGUGGCAAUUAUAAUAAAUUAAAUAAAUAUGUGGUCAAUGGCCUCAUUUUUAUAUGAAAAUAUGAACACCAAAUAUAAAUCAUAUAAUAAACCAAAAACAACCGUGAUGAUAAGGUUCUUAUGUGACUGCUUUGUUUUAGUUGGUCCUCUGUAUCAAGUUAGUUAUUCAUUUUUAUUCAGUUUGUCUGUAAACACAUUACCCUGAAAUGUGUAAGCCUACAUUUAACCAUAUCUGAGUUAUUCUCGAGCACUUUAGGGUGAACCUACAUAUUCAUCAACUAAUAGAAAUUUGUUAUUUCAUAUCUGUAGCUUUUUAAAAAAAGAAUAUUGUCAAGUUGUAUUUGUUUUUAAAAUAAAAAGUAAAAAUAUAUAAAAAAUAGUAAUAGUUACAAAAAAAAGAAUUUUUUAAAAAUAUUUUUAAUCCCGUACGUCAACAAAACACUAAAUCCUAAAUCUUUGGAUAAACCGUAAACCCUUGAAUAAAUCU